GGGGCUAUAGCUCAGAUGGGAGAGCGGAUGGUUCGCAAUCAUCAGGUCAGGGGUUCGAUCCCCCUUAGCUCCACCA
rnacentral:tRNA from 1 species